rnacentral:rRNA from 1 species
AAUACGUUCCCGGGCCUUGUACACACCGCCCGUCACACCAUGAGAGUUGGGAAUACCCGAAGCCUGUGAGCUAACUUUUAGAGGCAGCAGUCGAAGGUAGAAUCAAUGAUUGGGGUGAAGUCGUAACAAGGUAAC